GACGAACGCUGGCGGCGUGCUUAACACAUGCAAGUCGAACGGAAAGGCCCUGCUUGCAGGGUACUCGAGUGGCGAACGGGUGAGUAACACGUGGGUGAUCUGCCCUGCACUUCGGGAUAAGCCUGGGAAACUGGGUCUAAUACCGGAUAGGAGCCAUUUUUAGUGUGAUGGUUGGAAAGUUUUUUCGGUGUAGGAUGAGCUCGCGGCCUAUCAGCUUGUUGGUGGGGUAAUGGCCUACCAAGGCGGCGACGGGUAGCCGGCCUGAGAGGGUGGACGGCCACAUUGGGACUGAGAUCCGGCCCAGGCUCCUACGGGAGGCAGCAGUGGGGAAUAUUGCACAAUGGGCGCAAGCCUGAUGCAGCGACGCCGCGUGGGGGAUGACGGCCUUCGGGUUGUAAACUCCUUUCGCUAGGGACGAAGCUUUUUGUGACGGUACCUAGAUAAGAAGCACCGGCUAACUACGUG
rnacentral:rRNA from 1 species